GACGAACGCUGGCGGCGUGCUUAACACAUGCAAGUCGAACGGAAAGGCCCUGCUUUUGUGGGGUGCUCGAGUGGCGAAAGGGUGAGUAACACGUGAGUAACCUGCCCUUGACUUUGGGAUAACUUCAGGAAACUGGGGCUAAUACCGGAUAGGAGCUCCUGCUGCAUGGUGGGGGUUGGAAAGUUUCGGCGGUUGGGGAUGGACUCGCGGCUUAUCAGCUUGUUGGUGGGGGAGUGGCUUACCAAGGCUUUGACGGGUAGCCGGCCUGAGAGGGUGACCGGCCACAUUGGGACUGAGAUACGGCCCAGACUCCUACGGGAGGCAGCAGUGGGGAAUAUUGCACAAUGGGCGGAAGCCUGAUGCAGCAACGCCGCGUGCGGGAUGACGGCCUUCGGGUUGUAAACCGCUUUCGCCUGUGACGAAGCGUGAGUGACGGUAAUGGGUAAAGAAGCACCGGCUAACUACGUG
rnacentral:rRNA from 1 species